rnacentral:rRNA from 1 species
GUGGCGAACGGGUGAGUAACACGUGAGCAACCUGCCCGACAAACCGGGAUAACAGCGGGAAACUGCUGCUAAUACCGGAUACACCAGGUAUGGCGCAUGCUGUAUCUGGGAAAGGGUUUACCGAUGUCGGAUGGGCUCGCGUCCCAUUAGCUAGUUGGUGAGGUAACGGCUCACCAAGGCGACGAUGGGUAGCUGGUCUGAGAGGACGAUCAGCCACACUGGAACUGAGACACGGUCCAGACUCCUACGGGAGGCAGCAGUGGGGAAUCUUGCACAAUGGGCGAAAGCCUGAUGCAGCGACGCCGCGUGGAGGAUGAAGGCCUUCGGGUCGUAAACUCCUGUCUGGGGGGAUGAACACUGACAGUACCCCCGGAGGAAGCCCCGGCUAACUACGUGCCAGCAGCCGCGGUAAUACGUAGGGGGCGAGCGUUGUCCGGAAUUACUGGGCGUAAAGCGCGCGCAGGCGGCCUAUUAAGUCAGGUGUUAAAAUGCGGA